UAAAAAUAAAAAGAUUAAGAAAACAAAACAAAUAAUCAGAUGAAAUUCAAAACACUAGUAUAUUUCGGUGAGGAGGGAAAGAUGGGGUUUUGGAGAAGAAUCUAGCUCUCACACACCGGGGGCAAAAAGCAGAAGGCAGAGGCACUCGACUUCUUCUCCCUGCUGUCGCCCAUCGUCGCUUCUUUAUCUUCCUCAAAAUGAUCUCCUAAAGCAUGGAAGCUUAAAUUUUGGGUUUGGAAGGCAAUGAUGCUACUAUUAGCACCAAUUCAAGUGGGGUUUUGUUCAAGAUGUACUUCCUCUAGUGGAUAUCAUAAAGCACGGAUGCUCAAGUGCUGGCUUUGGAAAUUGGAAUGCAAUGCAGCCAAAGCUGCUAUUUGCAAUCAUUUGAUGUAUUUGUUUCUUUUGGGUGUUGCUGUAUAUUUUGGUCACCUAUUGUAUUGUAUACAUACCGUUUCUUUGUAACAAGAGUCUAUAUUAGUCAUAGAAUUAGUCCAUUAGAUUUUUUUGUUAAUUAGUUAUUAUAAUAUUAAGUGGAUAUUGUAAAAUCAAUUGUGGUUAAUAAAGUUUUGGAAGAUUGUUUU